CUCCGGAGGGGCUGCAGUGGGGAAUAUUGCGCAAUGGGGGAAACCCUGACGCAGCGAUGCCGCGUGGGUGAAUAAGGCCUUCGGGUUGUAAAGCCCUUUCAGUGGGGAAGAUAAUGACGGUACCCACAGAAGAAGCCCCGGCUAACUCCGUGCCAGCAGCCGCGGUAAUACGGAGGGGGCGAGCGUUGUUCGGAAUUAUUGGGCGUAAAGGGCGCGUAGGCGGUCUAUCAAGUCAGGAGUGAAAGCCUCAGGCUCAACCUGGGAACUGCUUUUGAAACUGGUAGACUAGAGUCCGGCAGAGGGUGGUGGAAUUCCCCGUGUAGAGGUGAAAUUCGUAGAUAUGGGGAGGAAGACCGGAGGCGAAGGCGGCCACCUGGACCGGUACUGACGCUGAGGCGCGAAAGCGUGGGUAGCAAACAGGAUUAGAUACCCGUGUAGUC
rnacentral:rRNA from 1 species